UUCCAGACUCCUACGGGAGGCAGCAGUCGGGAAUAUUGCGCAAUGGAGGAAACUCUGACGCAGUGACGCCGCGUAUAGGAAGAAGGUUUUCGGAUUGUAAACUAUUGUCGUUAGGGAAGAUAAAAGACUGUACCUAAGGAGGAAGCCCCGGCUAACUACGUGCCAGCAGCCGCGGUAAUACGUAGGUGGCAAGCGUUGUCCGGAAUUACUGGGUGUAAAGGGAGCGUAGGCGGGAAGCCAAGUCAGCUGUGAAAACUACGGGCUUAACCUGUAGACUGCAGUUGAAACUGGCUUCCUUGAGUGAAGUAGAGGUUGGCGGAAUUCCGAGUGUAGCGGUGAAAUGCGUAGAUAUUCGGAGGAACACCGGUGGCGAAGGCGGCCAACUGGGCUUUAACUGACGCUGAGGCUCGAAAGUGUGGGGAGCAAACAGGAUUAGAUACCCUAGUA
rnacentral:rRNA from 1 species